rnacentral:rRNA from 1 species
UACAGAGGUCCCGAGCGUUGUUCGGAUUCACUGGGCGUAAAGCGUGCGCAGGCGGUUUUGUAAGCCAGAUGUGAAAUCCCCGGGCUUAACCUGGGAAUGGCAUUUGGGACUGCAAGGCUGGAGUGCGGCAGAGGAGACUGGAAUUCCUGGUGUAGCAGUGAAAUGCGUAGAUAUCAGGAGGAAUACCGAUGGCGAAGGCAGGUCUCUGGGCUGACACUGACGCUCAUGCACGAAAGCGUGGGGAGCAAACAGG